rfam:Populus trichocarpa isolate Nisqually-1 chromosome 6, whole genome shotgun sequence.
CUCGCCAUGAGCUGGAGUGAGCGGGUCUAUAGAUGACCCAGGAAAGUCCACGGGCCCUUCUCCGCAGAAAUGCGGUCCUGGAAACGGGAACGCUCGGUGCAACGAAUCUACCUGCCAUGUGUAGAUGGCUGAGACAAGUGUGGAGCCUAUAGGUUCGUUGCCCAGGUAACUGGCCAAUUGCUACAGUUAUUCACUCAAGUCCACAAACACUGUGGGCCAACAGAACGGGGCUUACAUCUCAUGGCGU